rnacentral:lncRNA from 1 species
AAUAAUUUUAUAAAGUUUUUUAUCACAUAUUUGUUACGAAUACGUCUGGUUUUGCAUAUGCAAUAACCUCAAAAUUGCCCGGGGCAAAAAAGAGCAUAUUGAUAUUGUGCCCCAAUUCUAAAUGACGUGACGUCACUGCGUCCUUAACGACACGUUUGUGAUAAAAUGUUUAAGAUUUUACCUUUUAUCUUUCAUUAAAUUGUUAUAAUUGACCUUUUUUUCUCUUUUCUGCAGAAAUUAAAUAUGUGAUAAAAAAGAUUAUAACAUGUCUUUUCCAUAUUGGCCCUGGUAUCAUCCCUCG